AGCUUGGUGGCGGACGGUCCGCGCCCACAUUGCAUAGAUGGCAACUCGGAUACAUUAGUCUGUGGGAGGUUCCCCGUUCGACUCGGGGCCAGGCUA